AACGAACGCUGGCGGCAGGCCUAACACAUGCAAGUCGAACGCUCCGCAAGGGGAGUGGCGCACGGGUGAGUAACACGUGGGAACCUACCUUCCGGUACGGAACAACCAAGGGAAACUUUGGCUAAGACCGUAUACGACCUCCGGGUGAAAGAUUGAUCGCCGGAAGAGGGGCCCGCGUCCGAUUAGGUAGUUGGUGAGGUAACGGCUCACCAAGCCUUCGAUCGGUAGCUGGUCUGAGAGGAUGACCAGCCACACUGGGACUGAGACACGGCCCAGACUCCUACGGGAGGCAGCAGUGGGGAAUAUUGGACAAUGGGCGCAAGCCUGAUCCAGCCAUGCCGCGUGAGUGAUGAAGGCC
rnacentral:rRNA from 1 species